rnacentral:lncRNA from 1 species
CUACUACUACUAUUACAUUACUAUAACUACUACUACUACUAUUACAUUACUAUUACUACUAUUAUUACAUUACUACUACUACUACAUUUACAUUACUAUUACUACUACUACUACUACUACAUUUACAUUACUAUUACUACUAUUAUUACAUUACUACUACUACUACAUUUACAUUACUAUUACUACUACUACUACUACUACUACUAUUAUUACAUUACUACUACUACUACUACUACUGCUAUUAUUACAUUACUACUACUACUACUACAUUUACAUUACUAUUACUACUACUACUACUAUUACAUUACUACUACUACUACUACUACUACUACUAUUACAUUACUACUACUACUACUACUGCUAUUAUUACAUUACUACUACUACUACUAUUAUUACAUUAAUACUACUACUGCUAUUAUUAGAUUACUACUACUACUAUUACAUUACUACUACUACUAUUAUUACAUUACUACUACUACUACUACUGCUAUUAUUACAUUACUACUACUACUGCUACUGCUAUUAUUACAUUACUACUACUACUACUGCUAUUACUACAUUACUACUACUACUACUAUUACAUUACUACUACUACUACUAUUAUUACAUUACUACUACUACUACUAUUACAUUACUACUACUACUACUACUAUUACAUUACUACUACUACUACUAUUAUUACAUUACUUCUACUACUACUACUAUUACAUUACUACUACUACUACUACUACUAUUAUUACAUUAAUACUACUACUGCUAUUAUUAGAUUACUACUACUAUUACAUUACUACUACUACUAUUAUUACAUUACUACUACUAUUACAUUACUACUACUACUACUACUGCUAUUAUUACAUUACUACUACUACUACUAUUACAUUACUACUACUAUUAUUACAUUACUACUACUACUACUAUUACAUUACUACUACUACUACUAUUACAUUACUACUACUACUACUACUGCUAUUAUUAGAUUACUACUACUACUACUAUUACAUUACUACUACUACUACUACUGCUAUUAUUACAUUACUACUACUACUACUAUUACAUUACUACUACUAUUAUUACAUUACUACUACUACUAUUAUUACAUUACUACUACUACUACUAUUACAUUACUACUACUACUACUAUUAUUACAUUACUACUACUACUACUAUUA